UAGGACACGUAACGGAGCCCACCUC
rnacentral:piRNA from 1 species